AGACGUCUACAUUAGAUACCCUGUAGUCCCAGCCGUAAACUAUGCGCGUUAGGUGUAUCGGUGACCACGAGUUACCGAGGUGCCGAAGGGAAACCGUGGAACGUGCCGCCUGGGAAGUACGGUCGCAAGGCUGAAACUUAAAGGAAUUGGCGGGGGAGCACAACAACGGGUGGAGCCUGCGGUUUAAUUGGACUCAACGCCGGACAACUCACCGGGAACGACAGCAAUAUGUAGGCCAGGCUGAAGACCUUGCCUGAAUCGCUG
rnacentral:rRNA from 1 species